rnacentral:misc_RNA from 1 species
UUUCCGUAGGUGAACCUGCGGAAGGAUCAUUCAUAAUAAGUGUUUUAUGGCACUUUUUUAAAUCCAUAUCCACCUUGUGUGCCAUGUCAGGGUUGAUUUUCCUCUCGAGAGGAUCAACCCCAAACAUCAACUAUAUCUCACCUCUUUGUCUGAAAAAUAUUAUGAAUAAAACAAUUCAAAAUACAACUUUCAACAACGGAUCUCUUGGCUCUC